UGAGAUAUUUAGCAAAGCUCUCUAUUUUAUUACAAUCUUAGUGGGUACAUAUGUGACCUGUAGAAAGAGAUUUCCUAUUGGACUGAAUCAAGAUGGUUGUUUUGUCUGAGGGAUUCUUGUCCAGUUUAAGAAGUAGGAAAUGUAAGAGGAGGAAGGACUUUAUUUCUGAAGUAGUCAGUGGAUGCCAGCGUUUUUCUGAUCAAGUGGACUAAUCCUGUUGGUGACAAACCAGUACCCUCUAGUUCAUUUAAAAUGUCUCAGAAGAGUGCUGAGAAGAUGAAGUGGAAUCCUGAACCCCACAUUUUCACCAUGUUUCUUUGUGCCAAACUUCAUCAUUUCCGACUGGGGACACACUUGGACCUUGGUUUACGUGACUCAUGGCUGUUUCCCUUGUUCUCCAAAGAUGCCUGUCAGGGUGUGAGGAUCUGGUAAGCGGUUUAACAGUUGAGGCUCUGUCCAGAAGAGGGCAGCACGUCUCUGCUGAUGCACGAUGUGGGACUGGCUCUUUUUGCUUGGCUUCUCUAAGAGCAGGCUAAAGACAGAAGCAGGUUGCUGCGCAGCCAGUUUGAAAAACGACUGGUCUUAGGAGGACAGGAAGAGACAACUGAUAAUCGCUGUAGCUUUCCUGGCUGGAGAUUGCAAGUCCUGAUAGGUGGAGCCAUGAGGACUCUUUCUGGACCGUUCUUCCUGUUCUUGUGGCUGCAGCUGUAUUCUGUGAGUAGAGGAGAGACGGUGGAGCAGAGUCCUUCUUUCCUGAAUGUCCAGGAGGGAGACGGCUGUGUUAUCAACUGCACUUACACAGACAGUGCCUCCACCUACUUCUACUGGUAUAAGCAAGAACCUGGAGCAAGCCUCCAGUUGCUUUUAAAUAUUAUCUCAAGUAUGGACAAGAAAGAAGAGAAGAGAUUCACUGUCUUCAUGAAUAAGAAGGACAAACAUCUCUCCCUGCACAUCACAGCUGCCCGUGCUGUGGACUCAGCCACCUACUUCUGUGCAGCCCAGCACAGUGCUCCCCAUCCACCCGAAGCCUGUACCCAAACCUGCAGCAAGGCUGUUGCAGUCACUGGGAGGAGUGAACCAGCACCUGUAUGAU